GCGGUGGGUUCGGGGCGGCUGCGGGCGGCUGCCCGGGGCUGCUUCAGCCAGGAGAGGGCUGCGGGGGCUGCUCGGGGCCCUGUGGCGGCGAGAAGCGAGGGUUUGGUCCCCGUGGCGGCGCCGGAGCCCAGCCGUGUGUGAGGCGCGGUGCUGGCCCUGGGGGCUCUCUGAGGGGUGGGGUCGGCCCUGGGCUCCUUGCGGUGACGGUCACGGCUUAACGGCGGGGCGGCUGCGCUAUGAAAGCUACGAGCUGUCCCUCGGAAGGCAGCAAAAGAAUUUCGGAGAUGAGCUGGUUUCUGGCUCUGGAAAUCUUCAGCCCAGACUGUGCUAUGCUGCUAUCAUGCAAGCAGGAGGAUGUCACAUGAAUUGUGGAGCUACAGAGCUGAGUUCUGCCUUUGUACAAACUACGUGAUCUCUGGUGCAUGGACCAGUAGGCUGCUAUUUCUCCUUUGAAUGCUGUCAGCAAGAGUACUGGAAGGUGCCAUCAGAUGGCCUCUGGUGUCCUCAAGCUGUGUGCAUGCAGCCAGCAGCAGACUCUGCCAACUCCCAGAAACUCCCAGAAGUGUGGCUGCUGAAGAAGGUGAGUUGCUUUCCAGCUGUGGUGGCACAGCGCUCAGGCUCCAGGAAGCCAUACUGCAAGCUGGGGAAGAUGGGUACGGGGUGCUGCUGUGUGGAGCUCUGCUGGCUUAUGUCAGCCGGAGUUGUGCCCUGUUAGCCAGGGAUACUUCUGUUCUCGACUGGUGACACUGAUACAAGUCGUAAAGUUUUUGCUAAAAACAUCACAGAGGAGAAGCUAGGGAGAGGCAAGGAUAAAAAAAAUCAUGCUCUUCUUGGAAGCAAACAAACAAACGUCUAAGGAUAUACUUUCCUUAGUAUGGUUUGUCAGAAAUAAUUUCUAAAAAAAUUCUAUUUAACUCUUUUAUGGAAGUAAUUUUACUGGCAUAAUGAUGAAAUAAUGAUUUGCCGUUUACCCAUCUGACUGGUUAUUGAUGUGUAUCUUUAUAUCUGAAAUGCCAGUAAAAGUUAGUAAUUUUGUAUAAAGUUAAUAAAGGUUACAGAAAAUUGACUAAAUUUGAAAUGCUUUUUUAUUUUUCCAGAUAGAAAUCCACACUUCAGACGUGUUUACUAAUGCACUCGGAAAUGCUUUUGAGGCCCUUCUUGCUUCUCAGAAAUGCUGCUUGAUUCAAAGACUGAGUUCAGUGAAAAUGUGAAUAACUCCUGAAUGGGGUUCAGGUGAGAGCAUGACUCUAGGAGGAGAGGUAGCCCUGCAGCCACUCUUACAACUCAGCAUGGACAGUGAAGUGCACUCAGAAUGAUAAAUUUGAAUAAAUCAAGUGUUACAAGAUGUAGGAGAACUUGUGUGUUACCUUGUCUAAAUGAGUGUUUAUAAUGUUAACAGGGGCAGCUGUUCUGCUCAUCUACAGUGCAGUGUUUGCAUAAAUAAAAUCCUGAAUUUCUGUUUC